UGCGGUUCCACGUCUACUUCCACUCAGACCUUCCGGCACAAAUUAACUCCAUCCAUUGCUCUCGCCUGAGCCUUAUUCUUUCGUCGCAUCGCUUUUCGGAAUCAAUCGCGCGGACAGCUCGUAGAUGCCCUUCCUCCCCGCUUCCCUCCCUUUUCAUUGUGGAGCGCCACUGGCUGCUUAGUUCGCCUAUAAAUUCGUAGACGGAAAGCGAAGCCGUGUGGGCGGCGCAGCAGGAGCAGGGGAAACGAGCACUCGGCCUCUUCCUCUUUCUUCCGCCAUGCUUCGGUUAGGAUUCUCUCUUCCCUCCCCCACUAUAAGCGGCCGCAGUUUCGGCCUUCCUUGUCUGGAUUCGACGACGCAAUGUGUGGCGAGUCGGAGAAGGACCAAGUAUGAGUAUGGGGGGGUUCUAGGCUCUGCGAGGGCGCGGAGGGUCCCAAGCGCAAGGUCCGUCCUGAGCACGGAGCGGAGGACGGCGGAGGGGAGAGGCCGUGGGAGUGAGGACGAUGAGUACGACGCGAUCGUCAUCGGCUCGGGGAUCGGGGGCCUCGUGGCCGCCACGCAGCUGGCCGUGAAGGGCGCUAGGGUUCUCGUCCUGGAGAAGUACGUCAUCCCUGGCGGGAGCUCUGGCUUCUACGAGAGACACGGCUUCACCUUUGACGUCGGCUCCUCCGUCAUGUUUGGCUUUGGCGACAAGGGUAAUGUCAAUAUGAUUACAAGAGCAUUGCAAGCAGUUGACUGUAAGAUACAGGUGAUACCUGAUCCGUCUACUGUUCACUACCAUCUGCCGGGUGGCUUGUCUGUUCGUGUAUAUAGAGAGUAUAGUGAAUUCAUCGCAGAACUUAUUAGUAAGUUUCCUCAUGAAAAGAAAGGGAUCCUUAAAUUCUACGGCGAGUGUUGGAAGGUUUUCAAUGCACUAAAUUCAUUGGAGCUGAAAUCAUUGGAGGAGCCGUUGUACCUCUUCGGGCAAUUCUUUAAGAAACCUCUGGAGUGCUUGACUCUUGCUUAUUUUCUCCCAAAGAAUGCUGGGAAUAUAGCUCGGAAUUUUAUAAAAGACCCACAACUGUUGUCCUUCAUAGAUGCUGAGUGUUUCAUUGUGAGCACUGUCAAUGCCUUGCAAACACCAAUGAUCAAUGCAAGCAUGGUUCUAUGUGAUAGGCAUUUUGGAGGGAUCAAUUAUCCAGUUGGUGGUGUUGGAGUUAUUGCAAAGGCUUUGGCAAAUGGUCUGGUCAAGAAGGGUAGUGAAAUACAUUAUAGGGCAAAUGUAACUAAUAUUAUUUUGGAGAAUGGGAAAGCUGUUGGAGUGAGGCUUUCAGAUGGAAAGGAAUUCUUUGCCAAAACAGUGAUAUCAAAUGCCACUAGAUGGGAUACAUUUGGAAAACUUGUGAAAACAGAAGAUCUUCCAGAAGAAGAGAAAAAUUUCCAAAGAAAUUAUGUUAAGGCACCAUCCUUCCUUUCAAUUCACAUGGGAGUUAAAGCCUCAGUUUUGCCUGCUGAUACUGAUUGCCACCAUUUCAUUCUUGAGGAUGAUUGGGCCCGCCUAGAAGAGCCCUAUGGAAGUAUCUUUUUGAGUAUCCCAACUGUUCUUGAUUCAUCAUUGGCUCCGGAAGGACACCAUAUUCUUCACAUUUUUUCGACGUCAAACAUAGAAGAUUGGGAGGGCCUACCUAGAAAGGAUUAUGAAGAAAGAAAGGAGCUUGCAGCUGAUAAAAUUAUUAGAAGGCUUGAAAAGAAACUCUUUCCUGGUCUUCGAAGCUCUAUAGUGCUUAAAGAGGUAGGCACUCCAAGAACUCACAGGAGAUUCCUCGCUCGGGAUAGUGGGACCUACGGGCCUUUGCCACGAACAAUGCCUAAAGGUUUAUUGGGGAUGCCUUUCAAUACAACGGUGAGUUCAAGUGGCUAUAGAUGGUCUCUACUGUGUUGGUGAUAGUUGUUUUCCAGGACAAGGUGUCAUAGCUGUAUCUUUCUCAGGAAUUAUGUGUGCUCACAGAGUUGCUGCUGAUAUAGGGCUUGAAAAAAGAUCUCCUAUUUUAGAUGCUGGUCUUCUUCGGCUGCUUAGAUGGCUGAGAACAAUGGCAUAAUAAGCAUCUAUUGAUCCGACAAUAUAGCACUUGAUGUCGUUGCUAGUUUCUGAGUGGAUUACAUGUUUAUUCAAUGAACUUUCAGAUGUGUUGGUGAAAUAACUUAACAUAUCUCUUAUUCUACAAACUAUCCCAUGGUGAGAAUGGCUAAGUUAUCUGAUGUUGUCAGGUAUUUAUCAUUGUUGGGCUGGCUGAUUUAUGACUUUGAGCUGGCGUCGUGGGAGUCAAAAGUUAAAUAGAAGCUUUAUGAAUAUGGAGGUAUUCUUGCUGUCACGGGGUUUAAAUUUACUUGGAAAUGUUGUGUUGAUUUGUGUACUAAGCAUUAAAAUUACUUGGAAAUUACUUGGAAAUGCUGGCCUGUCAUUCUGUCAUAGUAUUCAAAUUUCUUCAAGAGUUGUAUAUUGUGUAAUCUUUUGAUGCGACAGGAUGUGUAAAUAGUGCAAUUCUGUUCUUUUAAGGAAAAGCAUUGCUCUUUAUACCUAUUAAGACUAGUGGACGGAUAAUGAACUUGUUAAUUAUUGUUAUACAUCUCAUUUGUUUUAA